GAGUUUGAUCGUGGCUCAGGAUGAACGCUAGCGGCGCGCCUAAUGCAUGCAAGUCGAGCGAUGAGGCACCUUUGGGUGUACAUCAGCGGCAGACGGGUGAGUAACACGUAGGUGACCUACCCCGAAGACGGGGAUAACAGGUGGAAACAUCUGCUAAUACCCGAUGGACUCUGAGCGGAAGCGAGGAGUAAAGGCUACGGUGCUUCGGAGGGCCUGCGGCCUAUCAGCUAGUUGGUAGGGUAACGGCCUACCAAGGCGAAGACGGGUAGGGGUGUGAGAGCACGGCCCCCCACAAUGGGACUGAGACACGGCCCAUACUCCUACGGGAGGCAGCAGCAGGGAAUAUUGCGCAAUGGGCGGAAGCCUGACGCAGCGACGCCGCGUGGACG
rnacentral:rRNA from 1 species